AUUGAACGCUGGCGGCAGGCUUAACACAUGCAAGUCGAGCGGAGAGAGGUAGCUUGCUACUGAUCUUAGCGGCGGACGGGUGAGUAAUGCUUAGGAAUCUGCCUAUUAGUGGGGGACAACAUUUCGAAAGGAAUGCUAAUACCGCAUACGUUCUACGGGAGAAAGCAGGGGAUCUUCGGACCUUGCGCUAAUAGAUGAGCCUAAGUCGGAUUAGCUAGUUGGUGAGGUAAAGGCCUACCAAGGCGACGAUCUGUAGCGGGUCUGAGAGGAUGAUCCGCCACACUGGGACUGAGACACGGCCCAGACUCCUACGGGAGGCAGCAGUGGGGAAUAUUGGACAAUGGGCGGAAGCCUGAUCCAGCCAUGCCGCGUGUGUGAAGAAGGCCUUAUGGUUGUAAAGCACUUUAAGCGAGGAGGAGGCUACUUUAGUUAAUACCUAGAGAUAGUGGACGUUACUCGCAGAAUAAGCACCGGCUAACUCUGUGCCAGCCGCCGCCGUAA
rnacentral:rRNA from 1 species